rnacentral:rRNA from 1 species
GACGAACGCUGGCGGCGGGCUUAACACAUGCAAGUCGAACGGCAAGGCCCUGCUUUUGUGGUGUGCUCGAGUGGCGAACGGGUGAGUAACACGUGAAUAACCUGCCCUUGACUUUGGUAUAACUUCAGGAAACUGGGGCUAAUACCGGAUAGGAGCUCCUGUUGCAUGGUGGGGGUUGGAACGUUUCGGCGGUUGGGGAUGGACGCGCGGCUUAUCAGCUUGUUGGUGGGGUAGUGGCUUACCAAGGGUUUGACGGGUAGCCGGCCUGAGAGGGUGACCGGCCACAUGGGGACUGAGAUAGGGCCCAGACGCCAACGGGAGGCAGCAGUGGGGAAUAUUGCACAGUGGGCGGAAGCCUGAGGCAGCAACGCCGCGUGCGGGAUGACGGCUUUCGGGUUGUAAACCGCUUUCGCCUGUGACGAAGCGUGAGUGACGGUAAUGGGUAAAGAAGCACCGGCUAACUACGUG